UGCGUAGGUGGACUAAUAAGUCAGGGGUGAAAUCCCACAGCUUAACUGUGGAACUGCCUUUGAAACUGUUAGUCUUGAGUAUAUUUGGAGUGGGCGGAAUGUGUUAUGUAGCGGUGAAAUGCAUAGAUAUAACACAGAACACCGAUCGCGAAGGCAGCUCACUAAACUAUUACUGACACUGAUGCACGAAAGCGUGGGUAGCGAACUGGAUUAGAUACCCUGGUAGUCC
rnacentral:rRNA from 1 species